rnacentral:rRNA from 1 species
GACGAAGGAUCCAAGCGUUAUCCGGAUUCAUUGGGUUUAAAGGGUGCGUAGGCGGGUUUAUAAGUCGGUGGUGAAAGCCGAUCGCUUAACGAUCGAACUGCCAUUGAUACUGUAGACCUAGAGUAUAGAUGAUGUUGGCGGAAUAUGACAUGUAGCGGUGAAAUGCAUAGAUAUGUCAUAGAACACCGAUUGCGAAGGCAGCUGACAAAACUAUAACUGACGCUGAUGCACGAAAGUGCGGGGAUCAAACAGG